GUGAACGCUGGCGGUAGGCCUAACACAUGCAAGUCGAACGGCAGCACAGUAAGAGCUUGCUCUUACGGGUGGCGAGUGGCGGACGGGUGAGGAAUACAUCGGAAUCUACUUUUUCGUGGGGGAUAACGUAGGGAAACUUACGCUAAUACCGCAUACGACCUACGGGUGAAAGCAGGGGAUCUUCGGACCUUGCGCGAUUGAAUGAGCCGAUGUCGGAUUAGCUAGUUGGCGGGGUAAAGGCCCACCAAGGCGACGAUCCGUAGCUGGUCUGAGAGGAUGAUCAGCCACACUGGGACUGAGACACGGUCCAGACUCCUACGGGAGGCAGCAGUGGGGAAUAUUGGACAAUGGGCGCAAGCCUGAUCCAGCCAUACCGCGUGGGUGAAGAAGGCCGUCGGGUUGUAAAGGCCCUUUUGUUGGGAAAGAAAAGCAGCAGGUUAAUACCCCGCUGUUCUGACGGUACCCAAAGAAUAAGCACCGGCUAACUUCGUG
rnacentral:rRNA from 1 species